rnacentral:rRNA from 1 species
CUCUUGGACAGCCUUCUGAAAGGAAGAUUAAUACAAGAUGGCAUCAUGAGUCCGCAUGUUCACAUGAUUAAAGGUAUUCCGGUAGACGAUGGGGAUGCGUUCCAUUAGAUAGUAGGCGGGGUAACGGCCCACCUAGUCUUCGAUGGAUAGGGGUUCUGAGAGGAAGGUCCCCCACAUUGGAACUGAGACACGGUCCAAACUCCUACGGGAGGCAGCAGUGAGGAAUAUUGGUCAAUGGGCGAGAGCCUGAACCAGCCAAGUAGCGUGAAGGAUGACUGCCCUAUGGGUUGUAAACUUCUUUUAUAAAGGAAUAAAGUCGGGUAUGGAUACCCGUUUGCAUGUACUUUAUGAAUAAGGAUCGGCUAACUCCGUGCCAGCAGCCGCGGUAAUACGGAGGAUCCGAGCGUUAUCCGGAUUUAUUGGGUUUAAAGGGAGCGUAGAUGGAUGUUUAAGUCAGUUGUGAAAGUUUGCGGCUCAACCGUAAAAUUGCAGUUGAUACUGGAUAUCUUGAGUGCAGUUGAGGCAGGCGGAAUUCGUGGUGUAGCGGUGAAAUGCUUAGAUAUCACGAAGAACUCCGAUUGCGAAGGCAGCCUGCUAAGCUGCAACUGACAUUGAGGCUCGAAAGUGUGGGUAUCAAACAGGAUUAGAUACCCUGGUAGUCCACACGGUAAACGAUGAAUACUCGCUGUUUGCGAUAUACGGCAAGCGGCCAAG